rnacentral:misc_RNA from 1 species
GAUGAAGAACGUAGCGAAAUGCGAUAAGUAGUGUGAAUUGCAGAAUUCAGUGAAUCAUCGAAUCUUUGAACGCACAUUGCGCCCUUUGGUAUUCCAAAGGGCAUGCUUGUUCGAGCGUCAUUUGUACCCUCAAGCUUUGCUUGGUGUUGGGUGUUUGUCCUUUCCCUGCGUCGGGACUCGCCUUAAAUUCAUUGGCAGCCUAUGUACUGGUUUGAAGCGCAGCACAAUUUGCGAUUCAGGCGGUUACCAUGGGCGUCCAGUAAGCACAGUUAACACUUUUGACCUCGGAUCAAGUAGGGAUACCCGCUGAACUUAAGCAUAUCAAUAAGCGGAGGA